CUCCUCAAAAUGCUGUUGGAAAUUGUAUAAUUGGGGAUCUACAGGCUAUGGCUGAUGCUGCAGGAAAAAGACCUGUCAUUCUUAUAAAUCCUAAGCUCAAGGUUGGACCCUGAACUUCAGGAGCCUCACAGAAUCAGGUUAGGGUCAUUGGAUAACCGCCUGUUGUAUUUGGCUCCCACCGGGAGCCCAUCAUCCAUGAUUCGUGAAUCUUAUAUUAAAGUCAACAGAUUGCAAUGCAGGAUUUACCAGCUUCGAGUGGUAUCAUGCAAACAAUGGGCCGUGAUAAGAGAUUGGAGUAUGCUUCGUUAUUUGAAAAUUGCUACCUCUUACGGCUUCUCUACUAUGCUGGCAGUCAGUAUCCAAUUGUGGGUGUUUUAAGAAGAAGAUCCCAGAAAAGGGUGGUCAAAAUAACAAGGAUUGGUUUGUGCUUCUACAGGUGGAGGAAGAACAAGUAAAAGUGUAAUAUUCAAUAUAUAUCUGUCUUUGUGUUAGAUGGUAACUGUACAACGGAUUUACGCAGUAAAGGAAUUUUGGCUUAUUUUGAAUUGAAAUUAUGUCAUAGAAACCCUUUUUGUAAAAACAUAAAGUAAAGACAUUGUUAAAGCCUAUGAACUGUUCCGAGAAAGAAACAGGCAAACCAA